GACGAACGCUGGCGGCGUGCUUAACACAUGCAAGUCGAACGGAAAGGCCCUGCUUGCAGGGUACUCGAGUGGCGAACGGGUGAGUAACACGUGGGUGAUCUGCCCUGCACUUCGGGAUAAGCCUGGGAAACUGGGUCUAAUACCGGAUAGGAACCAUCUUUAGUGUGGUGGUUGGAAAGUUUUUCGGUGUAGGAUGAGCUCGCGGCCUAUCAGCUUGUUGGUGGGGUAAUGGCCUACCAAGGCGGCGACGGGUAGCCGGCCUGAGAGGGUGUACGGCCACAUUGGGACUGAGAUACGGCCCAGACUCCUACGGGAGGCAGCAGUGGGGAAUAUUGCACAAUGGGCGCAAGCCCGAUGCAGCGACGCCGCGUGGGGGAUGAAGGCCUUCGGGUUGUAAACUCCUUUCGCUAGGGACGAAGCUUUUUGUGACGGUACCUAGAUAAGAAGCACCGGCUAACUACGUG
rnacentral:rRNA from 1 species